UAGGGAAUAUUGCACAAUGGGCGAAAGCCUGAUGCAGCAACGCCGCGUGCGCGAUGACGGCCUUCGGGUUGUAAAGCGCUUUUCGGGGAGAUGAGGAAGGACAGUAUCCCCGGAAUAAGGCUCGGCUAACUACGUGCCAGCAGCCGCGGUAACACGUAGGAGCCAAGCGUUAUCCGAAUUCACUGGGCGUAAAGCGCGUGUAGGCGGCUUAUUAAGUUGGAUGUGAAAGCUCCCGGCUCAACUGGGAGAGGACGUUCAAGACUGGUAGGCUAGAGGGCGACAGAGGGAGGUGGAAUUCCCGGUGUAGUGGUGAAAUGCGUAGAUAUCGGGAGGAACACCAGUGGCGAAGGCGGCCUCCUGGGUCGCACCUGACGCUCAGACGCGAAAGCUAGGGGAGCGAACGG
rnacentral:rRNA from 1 species